UACGGGGGGAGCAAGCGUUGUUCGGAUUUACUGGGCGUAAAGGGCGCGUAGGCGGCGUGACAAGUCACUUGUGAAAUCUCUGAGCUUAACUCAGAACGGCCAAGUGAUACUGCUGUGCUAGAGUGCAGAAGGGGCAAUCGGAAUUCUUGGUGUAGCGGUGAAAUGCGUAGAUAUCAAGAGGAACACCUGAGGUGAAGACGGGUUGCUGGGCUGACACUGACGCUGAGGCGCGAAAGCCAGGGGAGCAAACGGG
rnacentral:rRNA from 1 species